UUUCCGUAGGUGAACCUGCGGAAGGAUCAUUGUCGACGCCUGCCCAGCAGAACGACCCGCGAACUUGUAUAAACAACCGGGGGCAGGGGCGAUCUCGCCCCGUGCCCUCGAACGGCAGGGAGACACUCGUGCCUUCUUGUCGAACAACGAACCCCGGCGCGGUCUGCGCCAAGAAACUUCAAUUAAAGAGUGCCUCUCCGGUUGCCUCGGAAACGAUGCGCGUGUCGGAGGCGAAUCUUGUACAAAACCACAACGACUCUCGGCAACGGAUAUCUCGGCUCUC
rnacentral:misc_RNA from 1 species